rnacentral:rRNA from 1 species
UAGGACCAUAACGUGAGACUAGAGAGGAUAGAUGAAAUACUUGGAAAAGUGUAGCAUAGAAGGUGAAACUCCUGUAAUUUAAAUUCUCAAUAGCUCUAUUGGUAUCCUAGAGUAGGUCGGAACACGUGAUAUUUUGACUGAAACUGGGGGACCUACCCUCCAAUCCUAAAUACUACUUACAGAUCGAUAGUGAACAAGUACCGUGAGGGAAAGGUGAAAAGUACUCCAGCGAGGAGAGUGAAAAUAGAACCUGAAACCAUUAGCUUACAAUCAUUCAGAGCCCUAUGAUUUAUCAGGGUGAUGGACUGCCUUUUGCAUAAUGAGCCUGCGAGUUGUGGUAUCUGGCAAGGUUAAGUCAAGUACGAAGCCGUAGCGAAAGCGAGUCUUAAUAGGGCGAUUUUAGUCAGAUGCUGCAGACCCGAAACGAAGUGAUCUAUCCAUGAAGCAGGUUGAAGCUGGUGUAAGAGCCAGUGGAGGACCGAACCCGCA